UAAUCUGUUGUACAGUGGAGUACCUGAACAUGUGUUUGUUCCUUAGGCAAACGUGUAAAACUCUUCAAGUUUGAAUGGAGAAGUAGAAAGAGAAGGUUUCUGCCGUGCCUGCUGACAAUUUUUGUUUUUCCACACUCAAAAAAAAAAAUUCUGGCUCCACGUUGGAGCACUAGUGUGGCAAAUCCUCGUGUUGGUCGGGUUCUAAGGAAGGGCCAGAAGUUUCACUGAGGAAUAAAGAUUCAAAACCACUCCAGAAAUGAGCUCUUGUCUGGGUUUAUUUCUCACAGAGCAGAAGGUAACCCAUUAACUAAGAAUAAAUCAAGAGAUCCUCAAGGCUGAUGACGUUGAACAUAUGCAUAGAAACUUAACUCCUGAGGUGAUCUUGAAGGAAAAUUUUUAUACCUCUCAGGAGAGGUACUCCAAAGUCUUACUUCCAAAGGAUUUCAUGGGUCAUAAUCAGCUUCUCCUUGAAAUCAAGACUUUUAAAAAAUCAGACAUGAACUUCUAGGUCAUGAAGAUUUCAAGAGACUUGAACUGUGCUCAACUUGUAAAACUGCACUUGCUGAAAGAAUUUGACGUUGCUAUCUGAAGGCUUGGUGUUUCCAGGGGAUGUCAAAGACACUCGCCUUUUGGGCUCUUGGCUCCAAAUGAGACUGCUUUUCUUGUUUCUGAAAGUCUCCCAAGUGCACUGGCCUUCUAUCAUGGACGUGUUCCUGGGUCCAGUCCUGUGUUCAGUGGCUAGUGGGACUGUAUAUGGCUUUAGUGACGUUUCCUUUGCAAACUUCUCCUCUGGCAUGGUGUGGACUGAGACAGUUUUAUUUGUAUCCUAGUCUUGGAGUUCUGAAAGCCUAUACAUUUUAACAUCUUAAAGUUGCUUUUCUUAAAGGAAUGGAAAAAUAUAUCCAUUGAUAGUAAUUAUUGUUGGCAAGUAAUAGUUACCUGAAUACAUCAAUCGCAUAAGAAUAUAUAGACUAGCUGACAUGUUUCCCCAAGGCUAACAAACUACCGCGGCUCUGUCAGUUCAAUAGGUAGUAGUUAGAACUGAAUUACCAUUUUCAUUAUAUACUAUUUUGUACCUCUAGAGCACUCGCCCUGUCCUUUCCUUUUUUUUUUUUUUUUUUUUUAGUGGGCUUUUUCUUUCCUUUUUAUGUUUACUUUUUCCCUUCACAGAAAUCAGCAAUGAGCAGUCAAGUAUUUAGGUAGCCUUCAGUUUCAAAAAAAUUGCCAGGCAUGCAUGUGGGUUUCUGAUUUCUUAGCUUGAAACUUAUUUCCUUAUAUUUCUUCUAGCAUUUUUUUUUUUUAACUGUCCUUUCUGUUUCAUUUUAGAUUGUCUCUUGCUCGGUCCCAAUGACUCUUUGAAUGCUGUUUGUUCAGUCUGUUGAUAAAAUAAAUUGUUCAUUUUGUUGGGUCUCAAAUUUAUAAAUAUUUGCUUAUAGUUGUCCCAGUCAAAACAAUUUCUUAGGUCAGUUUUUGCCCACACUUUUGUAGUCAUUUUAACAUUUGUGGUUUUCAGUUCUACAGGAUAGUCUUAUAAAUAUUUAAAGGCCUUAAACAUGUAUGUACCUUUUUUUCUAAGUUAUUACAGAAUGUAUAAUUUUAUACUACAUUUAUUUUGUUUCAUUUGUGAUGUAAAGGGAGAGAAGAAUGGGAAUUGCAAAGCCAUUCUGUAAUAAUAUUGUGUAAUCGUACAGUUUGAAGGAAGGUAAAGGGAGAAACUUUUGUGUUUUACUCAUCUUAGACUGAUAGCAAGAUACUUUGGAAAUUGUCCUAUUAGAAGUUCCUUUAUAUUAGAGAAGGUAUGGAUAUCUUUCGUAUGUUUAAAACUUACUGACAUGGCCAAUUAGGUAUAUAUUGGUUUCCAUGACACACUCUGGAGACCUCAGGUCUAUUGGUAACACUUUCAAAGACUAAUAUAUUACCCAGAAUCUUUUCUGGGAAGAACUAAAAAUGUAACAUCUGUUAAAAAUUAAAUUUGUAAAGUAUGCUUUUGACAUUGAACUAAAAUUAUACUGCCCUACAAAUCCAUGGAAUGAAAUGACUUCCUCCCUUCAUUUUAAUUAUGCAUAAAACUAAUUAGAUGGCUCCAAGUGAAUUUCACAAUGGUUCAAUACUGUAUGAACUCAAAGACUGGAAUAACAGUUGUACUGGUGUUUCUGCAUCAAUUAUAAUAUCAUUAAUUUCUUUGGAACAAAGUGAAAAGCUAUAUUAUUUUGGAAAUUAUGAAUUUGUCCUAGGUUUAUUUGAAAUUAUAGAUCAUGCCUCUCAUUUUUUAAACUAUGUCCUUUAAAACAACACUGAAAAUUCUGUAUUAUAUAUAAGUGUAAUACAUGCAUAUCAAUAGAGAAAAAUAAAUGGAAUUUCAAAUAUACUAACUAGAAUAUCCCCAGUAGAUUAAUGUUGUGACUAUUCAGAAAAGGUGAAUAAAAUUGGGAUAUAAAAUAGACUCUA